CUUAUGUUUCUUACAAAUAUUAUUUUCAUGGCAGUGAUACUGCGUCCUCUACACAAGCAUUGUCCACGCAUUCUGCAAGGCCCAGGAACUGAGAAUGGUGUGCCUAACUGUUUGUCCAUUAGUAUCAUGAACAAUAAAUCAAUGUUAUUGUGUGUCCUAAUAUCUUACAGAUAUUUUUGGGUGACUGGUGUUGAUAUUGACCUGCAGCCCCUUGAACUUGCUCAAAUGCUACUGAUCUGGAGGUGGAUGCUAAUUGAUGGAUAUGAGCAGCAGGAAUUACUCUACAACACUUGCUCAAAGAGAUUUCCAUCUGGCGGUGUCAAAUUCUCCCUCCAAUAAAGAUUAACCAGCAAGAAGAAAAUUGCGAAAACUGUAACUGGAAAGGCAGCCAGAUCAAUACACAAAGGAGAACCGUGGAGCUGAAAGAUGGAGAAUAACAACACUGACGAACUGAUUAGAUGCCCCAUGUGUUCUGGGUGUCGCCCGUUAGACACUUCAGGGUGGUGCCCUCUGAUAUGAGGGACUGUCAAAGAACUCAAGCCUGCAGCCUUGGCACGACUGAGCAUCGAGGGCGGACCUGGAAGAAAAUAAAGCAUGCUUUGAUUAAGUUGGCUAUUCAAUCAUGUAACUAUCUUUUUUGCGGGUACUCAGUUAAGCAGUUCAUUUGCUUCUGGACAUUGCUGCAUUUUUCAUGUUCUUGGCCAAGGCUUGAAUUAUUUUUGGAAAAAAAUGCUUUAUUUUCUUCUUAGUCCUCUUAUUAUAGAUGUACAAUGGUGUAUUUCCAUUCUAAUAUCAAAAUUAUCCGUAUA